rnacentral:rRNA from 1 species
UGCAAGUCGAGCGAGAAAGCACUUCGGUGUGAGUACAGCGGCGGACGGGUGAGUAACGCGUAGGAAUCUACCUAGUAGUGGGGGACAACUCGGGGAAACUCGAGCUAAUACCGCAUACGCCCUAAGGGGGAAAGCGGGGGAUCUUCGGACCUCGUGCUAUUGGAUGAGCCUGCGUAAGAUUAGCUAGUUGGUGGGGUAAAGGCCUACCAAGGCGACGAUCUUUAGCUGGUCUGAGAGGAUGAUCAGCCACACUGGGACUGAGACACGGCCCAGACUCC